AGCGUACACGGUGGAUGCCCUGGCAGUCAGAGGCGAUGAAGGACGUGCUAAUCUGCGAAAAGCGUCGGUAAGGUGAUAUGAACCGUUAUAACCGGCGAUGUCCGAAUGGGGAAACCCAGUGCAAUUCGUUGCACUAUCGUUAACUGAAUACAUAGGUUAACGAGGCGAACCGGGGGAACUGAAACAUCUAAGUACCCCGAGGAAAAGAAAUCAACCGAGAUUCCCCCAGUAGCGGCGAGCGAACGGGGAGCAGCCCAGAGUCUGAAUCAGCUUGUGUGUUAGUGGAACGGUCUGGAAAGUCCGACGGUACAGGGUGAUAGUCCCGUACACCAAAAUGCACAGGCUGUGAACUCGAAGAGUAGGGCGGGACACGUGGUAUCCUGUCUGAAUAUGGGGGGACCAUCCUCCAAGGCUAAAUACUCCUGACUGACCGAUAGUGAACCAGUACCGUGAGGGAAAGGCGAAAAGAACCCCGGCGAGGGGAGUGAAAAAGAACCUGAAACCGUGUACGUACAAGCAGUGGGAGCACCUUCGGGUGUGACUGCGUACCUUUUGUAUAAUGGGUCAGCGACUUAUAUUCUGUAGCAAGGUUAACCGUAUAGGGGAGCCGCAGGGAAACCGAGUCUUAACUGGGCGUUAAGUUGCAGGGUAUAGACCCGAAACCCGGUGAUCUAGCCAUGGGCAGGUUGAAGGUUGGGUAACACUAACUGGAGGACCGAACCGACUAAUGUUGAAAAAUUAGCGGAUGACUUGUGGCUGGGGGUGAAAGGCCAAUCAAACCGGGAGAUAGCUGGUUCUCCCCGAAAGCUAUUUAGGUAGCGCCUCGUGAAUUCAUCUUCGGGGGUAGAGCACUGUUUCGGCUAGGGGGUCAUCCCGACUUACCAACCCGAUGCAAACUACGAAUACCGAAGAAUGUUAUCACGGGAGACACACGGCGGGUGCUAACGUCCGUCGUGAAGAGGGAAACAACCCAGACCGCCAGCUAAGGUCCCAAAGUCAUGGUUAAGUGGGAAACGAUGUGGGAAGGCACAGACAGCCAGGAUGUUGGCUUAGAAGCAGCCAUCAUUUAAAGAAAGCGUAAUAGCUCACUGGUCGAGUCGGCCUGCGCGGAAGAUGUAACGGGGCUAAACCAUGCACCGAAGCUGCGGCAGCGACACUAUGUGUUGUUGGGUAGGGGAGCGUUCUGUAAGCCUGUGAAGGUGACCUGUGAGGGUUGCUGGAGGUAUCAGAAGUGCGAAUGCUGACAUAAGUAACGAUAAAGCGGGUGAAAAGCCCGCUCGCCGGAAGACCAAGGGUUCCUGUCCAACGUUAAUCGGGGCAGGGUGAGUCGACCCCUAAGGCGAGGCCGAAAGGCGUAGUCGAUGGGAAACAGGUUAAUAUUCCUGUACUUGGUGUUACUGCGAAGGGGGGACGGAGAAGGCUAUGUUAGCCGGGCGACGGUUGUCCCGGUUUAAGCAUGUAGGCUGGUUGUCCAGGCAAAUCCGGAUAAUCAAGGCUGAGGUGUGAUGACGAGGCACUACGGUGCUGAAGUAACAAAUGCCCUGCUUCCAGGAAAAGCCUCUAAGCAUCAGGUAACAUCAAAUCGUACCCCAAACCGACACAGGUGGUCAGGUAGAGAAUACCAAGGCGCUUGAGAGAACUCGGGUGAAGGAACUAGGCAAAAUGGUGCCGUAACUUCGGGAGAAGGCACGCUGGUGUGUAGGUGAAGCCCCUGCGGGUGGAGCUGAGACCAGUCGAAGAUACCAGCUGGCUGCAACUGUUUAUUAAAAACACAGCACUGUGCAAACACGAAAGUGGACGUAUACGGUGUGACGCCUGCCCGGUGCCGGAAGGUUAAUUGAUGGGGUUAUCCGUAAGGAGAAGCUCUUGAUCGAAGCCCCGGUAAACGGCGGCCGUAACUAUAACGGUCCUAAGGUAGCGAAAUUCCUUGUCGGGUAAGUUCCGACCUGCACGAAUGGCGUAAUGAUGGCCAGGCUGUCUCCACCCGAGACUCAGUGAAAUUGAACUCGCUGUGAAGAUGCAGUGUACCCGCGGCAAGACGGAAAGACCCCGUGAACCUUUACUAUAGCUUGACACUGAACAUUGAGCCUUGAUGUGUAGGAUAGGUGGGAGGCUUUGAAGCGUGGACGCCAGUCUGCGUGGAGCCAACCUUGAAAUACCACCCUUUAAUGUUUGAUGUUCUAACGUUGGCCCCUGACCGGGGUUGCGGACAGUGUCUGGUGGGUAGUUUGACUGGGGCGGUCUCCUCCCAAAGCGUAACGGAGGAGCACGAAGGUUAGCUAAUCCUGGUCGGACAUCAGGAGGUUAGUGCAAUGGCAUAAGCUAGCUUGACUGCGAGCGUGACGGCGCGAGCAGGUGCGAAAGCAGGUCAUAGUGAUCCGGUGGUUCUGAAUGGAAGGGCCAUCGCUCAACGGAUAAAAGGUACUCCGGGGAUAACAGGCUGAUACCGCCCAAGAGUUCAUAUCGACGGCGGUGUUUGGCACCUCGAUGUCGGCUCAUCACAUCCUGGGGCUGAAGUAGGUCCCAAGGGUAUGGCUGUUCGCCAUUUAAAGUGGUACGCGAGCUGGGUUUAGAACGUCGUGAGACAGUUCGGUCCCUAUCUGCCGUGGGCGCUGGAGAAUUGAGGGGGGCUGCUCCUAGUACGAGAGGACCGGAGUGGACGCAUCACUGGUGUUCGGGUUGUCAUGCCAAUGGCACUGCCCGGUAGCUAAAUGCGGAAGAGAUAAGUGCUGAAAGCAUCUAAGCACGAAACUUGCCCCGAGAUGAGUUCU
rnacentral:rRNA from 1 species